UUUACGGGCAGUUCGGGACCGUUGGGCGCCCUGAGCAAAUGUCUGCUGUAGUCACUAUUUGAGUUUUAAAUUGCAAAAGAUGUCGUAAUUCUAAGCUUAAUGAAAUAUUUCACAAUACUUUCCUGACAUUUUUAAAAAAUUGUACUCUUCAUGGAACUUCAGAACAACCUGUAUUCGCUAAACGUACCAGUGAUCCGAACGAUAAUAAAUUAGUCGAUUUAAUAUCUCCCUAAAAUAUUUAUUAGCCGUAUUGUCCUGCUGUAUUGAAACACAAUAUCUACAAAACUUUAAAUGUUGG